rnacentral:lncRNA from 1 species
CUUCAAGCAUUUGACCCCAAAAUUUGACAAACUUGUGAUGUAAUUUCUGCAAUUGAAAGGUUACCCAGUGUUGUUUGAUGAUGAAUUUCAGUUUCCCCAUGUUUAUUUAUAGGUUGGAUCAGAUUUGAGUGCUCAAUUGAAAUCGUUUCGACAACCGUUCGCACGUAGAAGAUGCAUGAACAGAAAUUGGCUGAUUCAAAAUAAAUUGGUGAGGAGCCAUAUGUGCAUCUUGUUCGCCAUGAUGAGGAGAAGGUAAUGGUUGUGGUUCCCGACCGUAAUUGUUGAUGCCGGCGCCGGAAAUUGGAGAGGAAAGUUCGUUGCCAGCUGCCUUCAAACUGGUAUCAUUUAGAUUUUGAUUUAAAUUGUUUUGUGAUGGUAUGGGACCAUGUACAUGUUCGUCUUGGGGAGUACUAAUAGCCUGUGAUGGAUUUUUGGCAUGGGUGAUGGUGGGUUGGCCGGAAUUGGAGGAAAAUCGUGCGUGAUUACAGUUUUUUUAAACCUGAAUUUCAUUUCAUUUUUUAUGUGUUUUGGUUGAUUAUUGGUAUAAAAUUGUGGAGGGUGAAGAGGAUGUGUUUGUGGUGUAAAAAUCCGGUGGUUUAUUCGGUGGUAGGGUGCUCGAUUUUGGCCUUGAAUCCACCGACGUCGGAGAAGGAGAAUGAACAUGGAAGUGGGAGGAAAAAAUUUUGCACCUGAGGUCCUCUGAAAUUUGUAUUGUCACGUAUUUCGAUCCUUCAGUUUGAAUUAGAAUCAUUUUGGUACCUGAAGUGACCAUUUGUGAAAGUUUUAAAAACUUCAGUGACCAUUAGUGAAACCGCCUGAAAUUUAAGUGACCGUUUUGUAAUUUUUGGUUAAGUUCAG